AAAUCUAACUAUACCGAUUAAAACCUAGAAACUAAAAAGGGAUUUAAUUUAAUGUUUCGGAAUAUAUUUAUGUCGUAAAAUCGCCAUUGGUAUGAAACCGAUAUUUUGCGUAAGAUAGAGAAAGAUAUUGGAAUUGAGAUUUUGUCUACAUUUUGUACGUUAGCGUGGCCUUUUUUUGGUUAUUAUCAGGUUCGCUGUAAUCGAAAUCGGUAGUACUAUAUCCUUCCGUCGUGUAUGAUAUAUCUAUUUUAAAAUUAGAAUAUGCCUCACUCGACGAGAGUUAAGGGAUUGUUGAAAACACCAAAUUCAAACUAUAAGUCAAAAAAAAGCAACAUUUGCUGGAACGGUCAACGUAAAAUGAAAUAAUGUGUUA